UAGUCUGGUGCCAGCAGCCGCGGUAAUUCCAGCUCCAAUAGCGUAUAUUAAAGUUGUUGCGGUUAAAAAGCUCGUAGUUGGAUUUCUGUUGGAGGCCGCCGGUCCGUUCUUUGAACGUGUAUCUGGUUCGACUCUGACAUCUUUGUGGAGUGCGCAGCUGUGCUUGAUUGCAUGGCGUGAAAUUCACAACAUUUACUUUGAGGAAAUUAGAGUGCUCACGGCAGGCAUAAGCCUUGCAUAUAUUAGCAUGGAAUAAUAGUGUAGGACUUUGGUUCUAUUUUAUUGGUUUCUAGAACUGCAGUAAUGUUAAAUAGGGAUAGUUGGGGGCAUUUGUAUUAACGCGUCAGAGGUGGAAUUCUUGGAUUGCGUUACGACAACCUAAUGCGAAAGCAUUUGCCAAGGAUGUUUUCAUUGAUCAAGAACGAAAGUAUGGGGAUCGAAGAUGAUUAGAUACCGUCGUAGUCUAUACCAUAAACUAUGCCUGCUAGAGAUUGGAGGUUGUUUUUUCUACGACUCCUUCAGCAUCUUAUGAGAAAUCAAAGUCUUUGGGUUCCGGGGGGAGUAUGGUCGCAAGGCUGAAACUUAAAGGAAUUGACGGAAGGGCACCACCAGGAGUGGAGCCUGCGGCUUAAUUUGACUCAACACGGGAAAACUCACCAGGUCCAGACAUAGUAAGGAUUGACAGAUUGAUAGCUCUUUCUCGAUUCUAUGGGUGGUGGUGCAUGGCCGUUCUU
rnacentral:rRNA from 1 species